rnacentral:lncRNA from 12 species
CCGCGCCCGGCGCCCUGGGGCUGCUGCAGGCGGGGGCGGCCGGCCUCCCGGGCGGGGACGCGGAAGGCGCCGGCCCUGUCCGCCCCGCCCGCUGCACGCGCGCUCUCCCUCGCGGACCCGGAACUGGCGCUGCCCCGGGGCCGGUCCAUCCCGGAGAGAGCGGCAGCGCGGGCCCGGGGGGGAGGGGGGGGCAGUUGGAUCGCCGCGCCGCCUCCUGCAACGUGCGCGACCCGGAGCAAGUGGCUGCACCUGAGCCGGAUCUCUAAAAAAGGGAGUCUCGGGCCACACGCCUCGCUGAGCAUCCCAGGCCCUUUUGGAGGCGCCGAAAGAAAGCAGAGGUGCACGGGACAGGAGGAUGCCCCCAGAGCUACCUGCUGCAGCGUAGCUGUGGGGACCACACAGCCAGUUGAAAGCAGAGGAUGUGAGGGAGGACUCCAAAGUGGAAGAAGCCUGAAUCCUCUCCCAGGACAAUCCAUUGAAGUAUCCAACAAGACUGUCUCAGGGAGAAAAUAAACCUGUAUGGUCGUUAGCUACUAAGAGGUGGGGGCCGUUUGUUUCAGCAGCUAGCAUUAUCCUAACAAAUAGAGGUCUAAAGAGCUCCCCAUGAUAGCUUCCAAUAUGGCAGGAAACGUUUGGGGAGACCAAUUUAAGCAGGAUUUCCACUAAAGUAUGAAGGUUCCAUAGGUAUCUCAAGGUAGAGCCAGGAAGGCAGGACAAAGAUCCCACAGCUCCAGGAUGGUUUGGAGAGAUCUGUCUGACUCCAAAGCCUACGCUUUUCUCACUCUUCCAUAUCACCCCAAAACAAAGAGGUACCUAGAUAUUUUGAGUGAUGAUCAUAAUGAGGAUAGACUCUAGGGUUCUAUAUAAUUUACUCGCCCACACAUUUGUGCUAUAUAUUAUUGCAGGGCUUCCACCACUUGCCACAAGCGAGUGAGAUUGAAUAUAAUGACACCCUGGAAUCCUCAUUUUUUUUAAAGAUUUUAUUUAUUUAUUCAUGUGAGACACGCAGAGACAUAGGCAGAGACACAGGUAGAGGGAGAAGCACGCUCCCUAUGAGGAGCCCGAUGCGGGACUCGAUCCCAGGACGCCAGGAUCACGCCCUGAGCCAAAGCCAGAUGAUCAACCGCUGAUCCACCCAGGUGUCCCUGAGUCCUCAUUUUUGUAUCAACAUCAUCUCCAAGGGCUCAAAGACCAGUAGUUAAAAUUAUUAUCAAUUUCCCUAGCCCGCAAACUAAAUGUUUACCAUUUAAUCUGGUAAAAGGCUCUUGGGACUAUGCCAUAAAUGUAGAGGUCUUCCUUCUCUAGCCACUUCUUCCUUUCUACCUCCAACAUUCCAGUCAUAAACUGGGCUCUUUGAUGACUAAAUGCAUCUUCUUUCUCCCUGGUGAUGUUGAGAGGUCAGGUGACUGAACCUCCAUAUCCUGGUUUCCGCAUCUAUAACAUGGGGGUAUCAUACUUACCACACACAGUUGUUACGAUAUUUAAAUAAGAUAAUCAAUCAACUGAUGGCAUA